rnacentral:lncRNA from 1 species
CUCUUUUGAGACUUUGACCGUCCCCUUGACUUGCCUCUUUUUCUUUCUCUUCAUGAUCUCUCCCCCAUGGCCAAGCCCUCCUAGGGAGAACCUUCUUUGGUCAACUUCUCCCUCUUUUCAUUGGACCGUGGCACCAAGACCAAGUCUUCAUACUCCAGGGUCUCCUUGUCGUAGAGCAGCAUCGUCACCAAUGGAUCAUAGGAAAGGGGCAGCGAGCAUAGCAGUAGUAAUGACUUAUCUUCCUCCUCCAUCUUCACCCUAAUGUUCCGCAACUUAUUGCACACC